AAACGUUUUCUGCAUCCAGGAUUAGCCUAAAUCCUUCGGGAUAAGGUAUCAUGGAGGGUGAGAAUCCCGUUCAUGGUUAAUCUUAAGGAAGCUCUACGAUACGUUUUCCAAGAGUCGAGUUGUUUGGGAUUGCAGCUCAAAAUGGGAGGUAAAUUUCUCCUAAGGCUAAAUAUUGGCGAGAGACCGAUAGCGAACAAGUACCGUGAGGGAAAGAUGAAAAGAACUUUGAAAAGAGAGUUAAACAGUACGUGAAAUUGUUGAAAGGGAAACGAUUGAAGUCAGUCAUACCAACGGGAAAUCAACCUUUUGAGUUUGUCUCGUGGGCUUUGAAGAGUUUCAAAGCCUUCGGAUUCGCGGGAUUGGGAUCUCUUGGUGUACUUUUUCGUACGGUUAGUCAACAUCGGUUUUGAAUGUCGUAAAAUGACUGGAGGAAUGUAGCUUCGAUCUCGUAUUGAAGUGUUAUAGCCUUUGGUAGAUGUGAUGUUUGAGACCGAGGAUUGCAACGGAUACCCUUUAGGGCUAUUCGUCUGAUCUCUGAUACGUUGCCUUGAUGUUGAAAGCUUG
rnacentral:rRNA from 1 species